CGGACGGGUGAGUGAUGCCUAGGAAUCUGCCUGGUAGUGGGGGACAACGUUUCGAAAGGAACGCUAAUACCGCAUACGUCCUACGGGAGAAAGCAGGGGACCUUCGGGCCUUGCGCUAUCAGAUGAGCCUAGGUCGGAUUAGCUAGUUGGUGAGGUAAUGGCUCACCAAGGCGACGAUCCGUAACUGGUCUGAGAGGAUGAUCAGUCACACUUGGAACUGAGACACGGUCCAGACUCCUACGGGAGGCAGCAGCC
rnacentral:rRNA from 1 species